CUUAUUCCUUCUGGUUACAGGACAGGAACCUGGAACUCCCCGAAAUUGCGGGAGCAAAAGAGGUGUAGUGCUCCUGCUUGCUGAGCAGCGGGUGGUGGGAGUUAAAAGAGCUGUAACACUCCCUCCAACUCCCCAAACAACGGUAGAGAAGAAGCCGUUGGGUGCUACUUCCUCCUGCUCACCGAACUACGGGAGUGAAAAAGCCUUAACAAUGGGAUAGUGUGAGAUUUCAUUGCAUUACACAGAACAGCACACAAUUUAAAAGUUAUGAAUUGUUUAUUUAUGCAACUUUUCAUUUAAUAUUUUCAAUUAUGGUUGACCAUGGAAAGGACACUGGACUGAUAGACAGCUCCAAGUCAGACCUUUAACAUUCUUCAUAGCCUUGGAUAACCUGCAGAUGUACCAGUCAAUGGAAGCGGCUUACAUGGUUUUUGACAUCAGAGGGAAUACUGGGAAUACAGAGGGAAUACAUCAACACUGGGAACCCUAUUGUGUCUUUGUGGUGUCCUUUGACUGCCUGGAAAUAUUUGCUGCUAUCAACAAAGCAGGCACUCUGGGGAGUUAAAAAUUCAUCAUCAGGCCGGGCACGGUGGCUCAUGUCUGUAAUCCCAGCACUUUGGGAGGCCAAGGAGGGCGGAUCACGAG
rnacentral:lncRNA from 1 species